rnacentral:tRNA from 1 species
AAGGAGUUAGUUAAAUAUUUAUAUAACACUAGAGUGUCAAUCUAGAAUUACUAAAAUAAUAGUACACCUUG